rnacentral:rRNA from 1 species
CUUUCCUGGACCUUUCCCCUAUGGAAAGCACUCAUGCCACUCAAGAUCAAAAUUUUUGUUUGGCAGCUCUUGCGAGAUCGCCUCCCAUCUAGCAGGGAGGUGAUCAAACGGCACAACCAUGGGGAUGGGUUGUGCCCGCUUUGUGGUGUUUCAAAGACAUGGACGCACAUCUUAUUCUUGUGCACAUCGGCGAGAUUACUUUGGAGUUUCGCCUGUGAGGCUCUGGACCUGGUUGGGUUCCUCGAAACCCGUGCCCACCAGACUGAAAGGAGACGACGCCCCUUCUAG